AUUGAACGCUGGCGGAAUGCUUUACACAUGCAAGUCGAACGGCAGCACGGACUUCGGUCUGGUGGCGAGUGGCGAACGGGUGAGUAAUAUAUCGGAACGUAUCCAAUAAUGGGGGAUAACUAAUCGAAAGGUUGGCUAAUACCGCAUACGUCCUACGGGAGAAAGCUAGGGACCUUCGGGCCUGGCGUUAAUGGAGCGGCCGAUAUCUGGUUAGCUAGUUGGUGAGGUAAAGGCUCACCAAGGCGACGAUCAGUAGCUGGUCUGAGAGGACGACCAGCCACACUGGAACUGAGACACGGUCCAGACUCCUACGGGAGGCAGCAGUGGGGAAUUUUGGACAAUGGGCGCAAGCCUGAUCCAGCCAUUCCGCGUGAGUGAAGAAGGCCUUCGGGUUGUAAAGCUCUUUCGCAAGGGAAGAAAACUUAGUUACUAAUAUUAACUGAGGUUGACGGUACCUUGAUAAGAAGCACCGGCUAACUACGUGCCAGCCGCCGCCGUAACAC
rnacentral:rRNA from 1 species